UACCAACCUCAUCAACCCUGGUGUCAGGGUUACUGUGAGCCGUCAAAUUCCCUGAUAUACUUCAUGUAACGACUACUUACUUACAUCAGUAAGUACUUAGAAACCGGGACCAACGGCUUAACGUGCCUUCCAAAGCACGGAUCAUCUUACUUUCGGACAAUGAUGUGAUCAGCCUGUAAUGUCCUAACUAAGCUAGGGACAACAAAGUAUUUUUUGUGAUAUGUCACCGGGAAUCGAACUCAGGACAUCCGGAUCCUGAGCCCAACCACUGGACCACGGAGGUCAUUCGUGAUUUAUAAUAUCGAUCUUAAGACGAAUUAUAUCAAUUGUGGCUGCGAUUUGUGUUCAAAGUACCUAACUUGUGGUUCUACGCUCUCUAUAGCUGGAGCACGGGCGUGAAAUACGUCUCUAUUUAUAGUAUAGACUUCCUUGUUACAUAUUAAUCUUACAGCUACAGCUAGGAGUAAGUUGGUUGAUUGAUUGAUACGGCAUAGUUACGGAACAUCUGGCAUUCUGCCGCCAAGCUGAAUUCCCACCAAAGUGAAUUAGUGUAGGUGGCUGUAUCGCUGUUAUGUUGGCAGUAAACAAACAGCCUAUGUAGCUAUUUACAUGAUGGAAAGCAGCUAGCGCAAUUUAAUGGCAACACAGUAAACCUAACAACGGAUUUUUUUUAAUGCGAGUUUAAAUAGGUUCCUACGAGAGCGCACGCUCUCAUAAUAAAAUAAUAUCAGUCGGAUUGUGUUUAUUAGACGUCUAGGGCAAGUCCGGGAUAGAUGGCCUUAAAAGAGAGAUGGCCAAUCGAAAAACAUCUUAGAACCAUUCACCAGAUGAUGAAAACUGAAAAAGAUAUUAAGAAUACGAAGAGCUUAACAAAAAGUUAUCACACUAUCGCGGGUGUGAAACACGUCUCGUCAAAUAUGAAGCCAUGUGCUCUAAAUGCAGUCAAGAAAACAAAGAUGACAUAGAAUGAAAGUUAAGGUUUAAAACUAUUUAGUAAAUGUAGAAUUUAUUUAUGGCCAUCUUACC